UUUUUGAAGCAUCUUAGCAGUCAUGAGUUCCUUUGGUUAACACUCUCCCAUAACGGCUGUUGGUAGCUAGUGUGCCUCAAUAUUUCCAGUUAUUUUUUUUCGUUUCCAUGUCGAUAUCUGCAAAUGUUUUCAAUUUUUUUCCGCGUAAUCUCCUAAUUCAAUUAAAUUUUAAAUAUCCUGUAUAACAAAUUUUAAUGAGUUCCCCAGACUUUCCUCAGAGUAGACCUGAAUUCAUGAAUUGGAAUCCUGUUGAUGGAUUUGAUGACAAUACCAUGUCAUUUCAUAAUUUUUCUAGCCGCUUCAAAAUAGAAUUGUUUCAUUGUAGCUGGGGAUGGACCUUGUUGAGAUUGAGUGUGAAUUUGAUCCGUGUUAUUGGUGUUACCUGUUCAUCAUUGAACACGCGUUGAAGAUUGUUCAUGCGAGUCCUCAGGAAGUAACAAGACUUAGACGGAGUAGACCCUUGAGCAUCUGACGAAGUAAGAUCGCAUAUCAACACAAUUCUGCAUCAGAUUUUUUUAUCAAUCUUGUGGCAAUAUCCAGGACGACAGUUACCGCGACCUGAUGAUUUUCUGACUUAACAACAAUUUAACUAAUAUUAAUUUCUUUACAGAUUGAAUUCUUCGUAAAUGCUGACCAGGAUAAUCCAUAGGAAUGUACGAAUGGGCAUUUGAGGACGACAUUCUAAAUAGCGGAGUCAGUUGAUGAGGGAAUCACGAGGAAAGUACUCUUCUCUAUUAACUGUGUAAUUUCUCCAAAACCACGGAUUUACCCACUCAGAGCCUUCUAGUAGCAUCGACAACUCAUAAUCGAUGGAGAUAUUUGAUUUUUAUUAUUCGGAAUGGAAGCAUCAUAAUGGAAUUGGGUCUCUUUUUUCCAAAUGUAGGCGUUAUCUCGUUCUAUUCAUUGGCCUGAACUGAAAUUUUAUUCACUUAUUGACUUUUUAAUUUUCUUUUUUAUGAAAACUUUUAUUUAAAAACUGCGGCUUUAAAAAAUUGUCUGGACGUCCUCUUCGCUCUGUUCGAAGAUAAUAGUAUUUAUCGUUGUUCUUAUUUUUAAGAAAUUUUUCAAAAGAAAUGAAAGAAAGAAAAAGGAAAAAGAAAUUUUUUUUUUAUUUAAAAAAAAUUAAAACUCUUAAAACCCUUUUGAUACUCCGUUUCAAAUCAAUCCACUCACAGCUCAGAAUGUCCGUUUUAGUGCUGCUGUACCUCCGUUGAGAUUAUGACAUUAAGAUAUUACGUCCUUUGAUUUGACUUUUGGAAUGUUUUUUGCGUUUCCUGAUUUUUUUUUAAAGAAUUCACAGACAAGGAUCUCGACUAUUUAUUUAGAUAUGAUGUUUCAAAAUUGUCAAACAGAUAUAUUCAUCCCAUCUACAGGGAAGGUCAGGAGUAAUCUCUUUAUCGAUGGGUCAAGAGGGUCAGCCACUGUACACAUACAGGCUCCAAACAUUGAUUAUAAUAUAUAGGUAUGUGAUGUAUAGAAUAGAUAUACAUUAUUUCUCUAUAUAAUAAAAUAAUAAAGUGAAAAAUUGGGGUGUCAGUGAAAGUUGGAUUAAGGUCACCCCCGUAUAUAUUGUUUCUAUCCCCUAAAAGGUUGGAUUAAGAUUGCAUCAAGGUCGAAUCAAAUUGGGAUUUCAGUUCAGUUGAAAAAGCAUUAAGAUAAGAUUAAAAUCGUCUCAAGGUCAACUAAACAGUUGAUCAUGUAUACUGAAGUUUGAUCACUAUUGAUGUUCAAAAACAAACAGGGAAAUGAGUGAUUGCCCCUCAUUGAGACAGGCGUUCAUUCAAGUCGUUUCUGUGAUUUCAACCUAUUUAGAUUUCGGACACGGAAUCAAUGUCUGCAAGGAAUUGUAAUUAUGAAUGUUAAACCCGUUAUUAUUAUUAUGAUUGUUAGAAACAAAUUGUAAUUGUUAGUCAUGAAAUAUAGAUUUUUGGUUAUCUAUGAUAGAAUACAAGAAAAUUAUAA